ensembl:lncRNA
AUGACACCCUUGUGGAAAAAAACAAGGGAUUCAUUCAACCAUUUUCAUGGAGGAGUCCCAUAAUCCUGAUAUUGACUUGAUAUGAGGUUCUCUGAAGGAAGAAACUUGUAUGAAUAAGGUAGAGAGGAAUGUCCAUGAAUUGUAUCCAGUAACCACACACACACACACACACACACACACACACACACACACACCCCCUGGGAAAGUUGUCUGGUAGAGGCAAGUGUUGGAGAAAAGUGAGAUAACUCACAUCUCUAUUGAGACUUAAAUAUGGGCACAUUGGCUCAGAAGGAUUUUCGAUAAGGCAUACAAAAUAUCCAGUAUUGGUGAAGGCUGGGAGACAACAGAAUGAAUGACUGAGUGAGGUAGCCAUGGGGAAUGGCUUGGGGAAAACACCCUUCUAAGCCAUGUGACACACCACAAUUAAACUAGAAGAGAUGAAGAACGGUGAGAGAUCACUUUAGAAUGACCCUUAGUGGUGUUGAGGAAGCUCUCUUUUUUCUCUAACCAGACCAUUUAAACUCCUCUGUACCCUGUCCCUCCCACCAUGGAAUUGUCAGGAGUGGUGCUUUGUGAUGUCUAAGCCAUGGAGUUGUCAGGAGUGGUGCUUUGUGAUGUCUUAGCCACCCCAGGGCUACCAUUGGCAGAGGAAUUUCUUGCUGGCCAAUCAAAACUGAAGAAUGGCAUCUCAUUGUCCAGAGGAGUAUAUAUAGAGAGAAAUCAGGAGGCCUAGGGUAGGCUACUGUUGCUCUAGGGUGUCAGAGAUUAGGAAAAAAUCAAGAGAAGCUCUAAGUUACUGUUGAUCUAGCAUGGCAGAGUCCAGCGAACAACAGGAAGGCACUAUACGGUACCGUUGUACUGAGAUAGAAAAUGUCCCUCAAGAAAUUAAGGCGGCUAUAGGCUACUAUUGCUCUAAGAUGGCAGAGCGUACCCAGGAGCCAAAAACGAAUGUAGGCGUCCGUUGCUAUACUCUCCCAGAAGACACCGAAGAGGAAGGAGAAGGUAGUUCAGACAUGCCUGGACCAUCCACAACCACAGGCGAAGAAAAUCCCAGCAUGAAAGGGAGGAAGAGAACUACUUGUGAAGCUAAGGAUGGUGGAAACGAUGAGUUGCUAAAAGUAGCAAAGAAAAUAAGAACAUUCAUUCAGCAGAAUUCACAGAGACGUAAAGCGGGCCAAAAGUCAGAAGUAAUAAUUUUCUGUGAGAGGAAUAGUAAAAACCGGGAUGAAAAUAAAGCAAAUGAGAAUGAAGAGAGCCAGGAGGAAUCCCCUACCUCAAGUUAUGCUGAGGGCCCAUCAUCGCCCACCUCAAGUGAUGCUGAGAGCCCCUUGGAAGACCAAGACUCGUCUCAUCUCUAGGUUAACCUCUAGAAAUGAUCUCCUGUGCAGAGAAACGAAAUAAUGCACCAGGAUUAUUGGAUGUUGAUGAUUAAAAUUCAACCAAAAGAUUCUGAAAAGCUCUGUGUGUCUCUGUGGUGUUUUCUAAUAAUGGGGAGGGAAGGAAAGAAGGGGAAGAGCAUGUGUAUGAGGAGGGAGGGAGUUGUGAACCUUCCAGGUUAUGAGACAGGCUGGCAGCCACAGUUAGCCAGACAUUGGGAUUAAGAACUAGAUGAGGAAUGAGCACUGAAGACAAAUUUCCUGCUUAAUACUUUAUCCCACAGUAAAAGAGGAAAAGGAAUUGAUGUUUCUGUGUGUGGGGGAGGGUGGCGGUGAGGGUAUAGAUAGAAUUGUGAUGUGUUGUGGGGUGGUAGUAUGCAAUAAUGAGUUUGAUUCCAUUUUUGAUGUUUGUCUGCCGCCAGAUUUUAAGCUUCAUCUCAUUCCCUUCUGCCCCACAUCCGGGCAAGCUGAUAAAAACAGCUAGAGAGUUACUGAAUUUAAAAUGGAAAUGAACAGACAUGCCUAGCCUCAACUAUUGGAAUUAUUCCCUUGACUACAAUCCCCAUACCCAUGGCAUCAGUUCUUUCCAAAUAUCCCCUACUGAUCAUGGACAAUCUGACCUAAUGACUAAUAAAUUAAAAUUAAGUCUUUGGUACUUGUAGUCAGCUUGAAAAAUGGGACCCUAUGGACUGCCUCACCCAGUUAAAAUAAGUUAAUAAUUAACAUCUUCCUCAGUUGUUUUUUUAAAAAGCCAAAUCUAAAUUAAAAUAGAAUCUUCAGUAAUUGAAGCCCAUUAUGUAAGACCUAUUUAGAGAAUUAGACCUAUAUAGAUGACUACCCUCACUGCUUAUGCAUUUAACAGCCAAAUUUGGAUUGUUCUUAAAUCUGGAAAAUAUAAAUGGUGCCUCAGUGUAUAUUACUGUAACCUUAAUGCCAUGGUCCCCCUCAUCAGGUCUUCAUACCUAAUAUUAUUCAAAUUACUGAUUCCAUCCAAUACGUAGCUGGUAAAUAAUUGGCAGUAAUAGCAAAGCAUUUGGCUAAAUGUUCUGUUCAGUUCCUGUUUCAGCAGCCUCUCACCUGCAGUGUACUUACCUUCACCUUAAAAGGGACACGAUACAACUCUACCAGGGUACUUGGUGGGGUAUCUUUCCACUCCUGUCAUCUCAUAUAAUCUUCACAGGCAGAAUGUUAACUAUAUCUAGAUUUUCUUAGAUGCUCAGGUAUGACAUUACACUGAUGACAGUCUCUUCUGAGGAGUUUCCUAUGACACACUUCUUCAGGACACAAAAAUGUUAGCAAAAAAGAUCACAAAAAGGAAAUCAGCC